UACGGAGGAUCCAAGCGUUAUCCGGAUUUAUUGGGUUUAAAGGGUGCGUAGGUGGCUUUGUAAGUCAGUGGUGAAAGCCCGGAGCUCAACUCCGGAACUGCCAUUGAUACUGCUUAGCUUGAAUCAGGUCGAGGUGGAUGGAAUAAUACAUGUAGCGGUGAAAUGCUUAGAUAUGUAUUAGAACACCGAUUGCGAAGGCAGUUCACCAGGCCUGUAUUGACACUGAGGCACGAAAGCGUGGGGAUCAAACAGG
rnacentral:rRNA from 1 species